rnacentral:lncRNA from 1 species
CUAAAUAUACGCGAAGUAAAUAAACAAUGACCGCGGAGGACAAUGCGUAACGUCCGUCAUGGGCGAACGGCGCACGUUGACUGGCGAUCGGGUGAACGAAAAUCGCUUGACAGAGACAAGAGUGCUUUGCGGAUUAACUUUUUUGAUAAGGUUGCAAAUUCUGCAAAGUUAGCAGAUUGUGAGGAAUUUCGGAAAGAUAUAUGUCAUCUAUUAAGUGUCAGAUAGGAAUCUUAUCAAUGGAUGCUACAUUUCUUUUUAUCCGGGUGCGAAGAAAACAUCGUGUAGUCUGGUUUCGUUCCCGGUUGUGGGAAUAAGGUUACCCAGAGGAUAAAAUGUGGAAGUGCUAAUGGAAGGUUCACCUCUACCUAACCCUUGGGAAAAUAGGCAUUAUGUUUUGACCUUGUAAACAUAAAGAAACCUUUAUUGUUGUGUAUAUUGAAGGCUGGUAAAAAUGGAUAUAAAGGGCGGGCCAGCUUUGUAUGUUAUUUUAAUUUCCGCUUAAUACCCAUUCAGGCUGUCCGCAAAAUUACGAGCAUUUGGACUCGUGCCAAAAUUUUGCAAACUUAAUAAAAAUAAACUUUUUUGGAAUAAGUUUCAACUUUAUGGAUUUGGUACGCCUGAGUAAAUUUCCAAGUUUCCUGUUCACUACCUAUACGAGUCGAGUUGUCAAUACCUGUUAAAAGUCCAUUCGCAGUAUUGACUCACUCAUGUGGUAUUGACAAUCAUAACUGGCUAACGGACAAUUUCCAAGCAAUACUUAGGUACGUAAGUAGUUAUUAGCAAGUAGGUAAUACUUGCUUUAUAAACUUAUUUGAAAACUUGAAAGACGCUUCAUUGUGUAUUUUCAAUUUAAUUCACUUUUUACCGUCCAUUUGAUAGACAAUGUACCUAGUCAAAUACUUAUUUUUCAAACAUCAAAAUUAAACCGACUUCCAAAAACACUAAAAAGCAAAAAAAAAAAAUAAUUUUA